rnacentral:rRNA from 1 species
AGGGCGCACGGUGGAUGCCUUGACACUAGGAGUCGAUGAAGGACGGGACUAACGCCGAUAUGCUUCGGGGAGCUGUAAGUAAGCUUUGAUCCGAAGAUUUCCGAAUGGGGAAACCCACCAUACGUAAUGGUAUGGUAUCCUUACCUGAAUACAUAGGGUAAGGAAGACAGACCCAGGGAACUGAAACAUCUAAGUACCUGGAGGAAGAGAAAGCAAAUGCGAUUUCCUGAGUAGCGGCGAGCGAAACGGAACAUAGCCCAAACCAAGAGGCUUGCCUCUUGGGGUUGUAGGACAUUCUAUACGGAGUUACAAAGGAACGAGGUAGACGAAGCGACCUGGAAAGGUCCGUCGUAGAGGGUAACAACCCCGUAGUCGAAACUUCGUUCUCUCUUGAAUGUAUCCUGAGUACGGCGGAACACGUGAAAUUCCGUCGGAAUCUGGGAGGACCAUCUCCCAAGGCUAAAUACUCCCUAGUGAUCGAUAGUGAACCAGUACCGUGAGGGAAAGGUGAAAAGCACCCCGGAAGGGGAGUGAAAGAGAUCCUGAAACCGUGUGCCUACAAAUAGUCAGAGCCCGUUAAUGGGUGAUGGCGUGCCUUUUGUAGAAUGAACCGGCGAGUUACGAUCCCGUGCGAGGUUAAGCUGAAGAGGCGGAGCCGCAGCGAAAGCGAGUCUGAAUAGGGCGUUUAGUACGUGGUCGUAGACCCGAAACCAGGUGAUCUACCCAUGUCCAGGGUGAAGUUCAGGUAACACUGAAUGGAGGCCCGAACCCACGCACGUUGAAAAGUGCGGGGAUGAGGUGUGGGUAGCGGAGAAAUUCCAAUCGAACCUGGAGAUAGCUGGUUCUCCCCGAAAUAGCUUUAGGGCUAGCCUUAAGUGUAAGAGUCUUGGAGGUAGAGCACUGAUUGAACUAGGGGUCCUCAUCGGAUUACCGAAUUCAGUCAAACUCCGAAUGCCAAUGACUUAUCCUUAGGAGUCAGACUGCGAGUGAUAAGAUCCGUAGUCAAGAGGGAAACAGCCCAGAUCGCCAGCUAAGGUCCCAAAGUGUGUAUUAAGUGGAAAAGGAUGUGGAGUUGCUUAGACAACUAGGAUGUUGGCUUAGAAGCAGCCACCAUUUAAAGAGUGCGUAAUAGCUCACUAGUCGAGUGACUCUGCGCCGAAAAUGUACCGGGGCUAAAUACACCACCGAAGCUGCGAAUUGAUACCAAUGGUAUCAGUGGUAGGGGAGCGUUCUAAGUGCAGUGAAGUCAGACCGGAAGGACUGGUGGAGCGCUUAGAAGUGAGAAUGCCGGUAUGAGUAGCGAAAGACGGGUGAGAAUCCCGUCCACCGAAUGCCUAAGGUUUCCUGAGGAAGGCUCGUCCGCUCAGGGUUAGUCAGGACCUAAGCCGAGGCCGACAGGCGUAGGCGAUGGACAACAGGUUGAUAUUCCUGUACCACCUCUUUAUCGUUUGAGCAAUGGAGGGACGCAGAAGGAUAGAAGAAGCGUGCGAUUGGUUGUGCACGUCCAAGCAGUUAGGCUGAUAAGUAGGCAAAUCCGCUUAUCGUGAAGGCUGAGCUGUGAUGGGGAAGCUCCUUAUGGAGCGAAGUCUUUGAUUCCCCGCUGCCAAGAAAAGCUUCUAGCGAGAUAAAAGGUGCCUGUACCGCAAACCGACACAGGUAGGCGAGGAGAGAAUCCUAAGGUGUGCGAGAGAACUCUGGUUAAGGAACUCGGCAAAAUGACCCCGUAACUUCGGGAGAAGGGGUGCUUUCUUAACGGAAAGCCGCAGUGAAUAGGCCCAAGCGACUGUUUAGCAAAAACACAGCUCUCUGCGAAGCCGUAAGGCGAAGUAUAGGGGGUGACACCUGCCCGGUGCUGGAAGGUUAAGGAGAGGGGUUAGCGUAAGCGAAGCUCUGAACUGAAGCCCCAGUAAACGGCGGCCGUAACUAUAACGGUCCUAAGGUAGCGAAAUUCCUUGUCGGGUAAGUUCCGACCCGCACGAAAGGUGUAACGAUUUGGGCACUGUCUCAACCAGAGACUCGGUGAAAUUAUAGUACCUGUGAAGAUGCAGGUUACCCGCGACAGGACGGAAAGACCC